GCAGGCUGNAACCCGCCUGCAUGAAGUCGGAAUUGCUAGUAAUCGCGGAUCAGCAUGCCGCGGUGAAUACGUUCCCGGGCCUUGUACACACCGCCCGUCACACCAUGGGAGCCGGUAAUACCCGAAGUCAGUAGUCCAACCUCGUGAGGACGCUGCCGAAGGUAGGAUUGGCGACUGGGGUGAAGUCGUAACAAGGUAAC
rnacentral:rRNA from 1 species